UUCUACGUCCAUACCACCCUAAACACACCCAAUCUCAUCUGAUCUCAGAAACUAAGCAGGGUCGGGCCUGGUUAGUCCUUGAAU
rnacentral:rRNA from 1 species